rnacentral:rRNA from 1 species
UACGUAGGGCGCAAGCGUUGUCCGGAAUUAUUGGGCGUAAAGAGCUCGUAGGCGGCUUGUCACGUCGGAUGUGAAAGCCCGGGGCUUAACCCCGGGUCUGCAUUCGAUACGGGCAGGCUAGAGUUCGGUAGGGGAGAUCGGAAUUCCUGGUGUAGCGGUGAAAUGCGCAGAUAUCAGGAGGAACACCGGUGGCGAAGGCGGUUCUCUGGGCCUUACCUGACGCUGAGGAGCGAAAGCGUGGGGAGCGAACAGG